GAGACAAAGCCAAGUGCUGCAAUUUUGACUGAAAUGUCCCAAUCAGCUCUUUCUCUAGCCGUUUAUUUGGGGAACCUCAGCUGACUCAGCUGUUUAACAGCUGCUGUAUCAAACCACCCAGGACCAUGAUGACGUUGGUGGUCGCCAGAGGACUUUGAGACAUCCAACGAACAGGGACUUCAUUAUCAGAAGGAGAUCAGGGGGCCAGGACUCUCUACAUGACCUACGCAGAAGCUCGGAGAGCUGCAUUUUACUGCUGAAGUCUCGGGGACUCUACAGUGACUGAACUCGGUGAAGUGAGAAAAGGAUGAGAUGGAUGAGGAGCACAGCACAUGCUCUGGGGAUAGACAUGUUCUUUUGUUUACAGAAAAUCUGUUUUUGCGACAAUGGAACUACAAAUCAAAGAGCUGAAAAAUCGUUUAGGACUUUUGAAGAUCUGGAAAUGGAUCCACGUGACCUCUUGAUUGUGGAGUAACCUUGUGUCAGAGAUGGGAGGAGGUUGAGCUUUUGCUCAUCCAUUGGAGCAAAUUGCAGAAAAUGAAGCAAAAUCAAUCAAUACAUGUCUAUUGGACGAAUGGCAUUCAGA